rnacentral:rRNA from 1 species
UCGAGCGGACAGAUGGGAGCUUGCUCCCUGAUGUUAGCGGCGGACGGGUGAGUAACACGUGGGUAACCUGCCUGUAAGACUGGGAUAACUCCGGGAAACCGGGGCUAAUACCGGAUGGUUGUUUGAACCGCAUGGUUCAAACAUAAAAGGUGGCUUCGGCUACCACUUACAGAUGGACCCGCGGCGCAUUAGCUAGUUGGUGAGGUAAUGGCUCACCAAGGCAACGAUGCGUAGCCGACCUGAGAGGGUGAUCGGCCACACUGGGACUGAGACACGGCCCAGACUCCUACGGGAGGCAGCAGUAGGGAAUCUUCCGCAAUGGACGAAAGUCUGACGGAGCAACGCCGCGUGAGUGAUGAAGGUUUUCGGAUCGUAAAGCUCUGUUGUUAGGGAAGAACAAGUACCGUUCGAAUAGGGCGGUACCUUGACGGUACCUAACCAGAAAGCCACGGCUAACUACGUGCCAGCAGCCGCGGUAAUACGUAGGUGGCAAGCGUUGUCCGGAAUUAUUGGGCGUAAAGGGCUCGCAGGCGGUUUCUUAAGUCUGAUGUGAAAGCCCCCGGCUCAACCGGGGAGGGUCAUUGGAAACUGGGGAACUUGAGUGCAGAAGAGGAGAGUGGAAUUCCACGUGUAGCGGUGAAAUGCGUAAAGAUGUGGAAGAACACCAAUGGCAAAGGGGACUCUCUGGUCUGUAACUGAC